CGGAGAGCGAGCAUGAGAAACGGCUACCACAACUAAGGUUGGCAGCAGGCGCGCAAAUUGCCCAAUAGCAACACAUCGCUGAGGCAGCGAAGAGAAAUAGCAACUUCAUGCGGCAUUGCCGUGUGAAGAUUGCCAUGGGCGAUAUCUAAACCUGUCGGUGAGUAUCAAUUGGUGGACAAGUCUGGUGCCAGCACCCGCGGUAAUUCCAGCACCAAUAGCGUAUAUUAAUGCUGCUGCUGUUAAAAAUCUCGUAGUUGGAUCAAGAGUCGGAGAGUGCACGGUGGCCCUUCUAGUUCACGAGGCUCCGGUUUCGGGGACUGGUUGGGAUCAACCCCGUGCGCCAAACUCUCCGCUCUAACAGGCCGAAGCGGUUCCCUGUGAGUAGGCCCCUUUAUUGGGGUUGAAAGCGACUUCGCAUCUACCAUAUGCAUACGGGACGUCGGCCAAAGUUACUGUGAACAAACCAGCGUGUCCAAAACAGGCUUUCGCCUGAAUGUUCGAGCAUGGAAUAACAAGGGAUCGAUUCUCUCGGUUCUUUUUGUUGGUUUCUAACCCGAGAAGGAGUAAUCCAGGCCACGGUGUCUGAGCUGGGUUCCCCUGCACUUCGGUGUAGGCCCCAGUUAGGCCGUGUCCUUACGGGAUAAAUAGGGACUGACGGGGUCGUACGUACUUCCACGUCAGAGGUGAAAUUCUUAGAUCGUGGGAAGACGAACUUCUGCGAAAGCAUUCGACAAGAUUGUCUUCAUUAAUCAAGAACGAGAGUGUGGGGAUCGAAGAUGAUCAGAUACCGUCGUAGUCCACUACUGUAAACAAUGCCGUCUCAGGAUUGAGAAGUAACAUUUUGACCUUCACAGCACUAACCCCUGAAACGAGGAAUCAAAGAUUAUGGGUUCAGGGGGGAGUACAUUCGCAAGGCUGAAACUUAAAGGAAUUGACGGAAUGACACCACAAGGCGUGGAGUAUGCGGCUUAAUUUGACUCAACACGGGGAAUUUUACUAGGUCAGGACAAUGUAAGGAUUGACAGAUUGAGAGCUCUUUCUCGAUCCAUUGUGUGGUGGUGCAUGGCCGCUCCUGGUUGGUGGAGUGAUUUGUCUGGUUGAUCCCGUUAACGAACGAGAUCUCGACCCUUAAAUAGGUGCCCGUGUCGAUUGUAGUUUCAUCUCCGCUCGCUUGCGAGAUUGGAGUGGGACGAGACUGCGGGAAUACUUCUUAAGGGGACUGUGUGCGUCUAUAGCACGCGGAAGAGCGAGCCAAUAGCAGGUCUGUGAUGCUCCUAAAUGUCCUAGGCUGCACGCGCACUACACUGAUGCAAUAAACGAGUCUGAGUGCCUUCUGGCAACCUACCUGGAAGCGGGUGGGGAAUCUUUUGAACUUGCAUCGUGAUGAGGAUCGACGAUUGCAAUUAUUCUCCUUGAAUGAGGAAUGCCUAGUAGGCACAAGUCAUCAGCUUGUACUGAUUACGUCCCUGCCAUUUGUACACACCGCCCGUCGUUGCUACUGAUUGGCUGUAGGGUAGAGAUCGGCGGAAUUCGGCCAGUUGGGGUGACUCUUCUGGCUGGGCAAAACCUAUCAAUAUUCUGCAGCUAGAAGAAGCAAAAGUCGUAACAAGGUAACC
rnacentral:rRNA from 1 species